rnacentral:lncRNA from 1 species
GAGCUACCAGAGUGAAGCUAUAUGAUGCUGAUCCACAUGUGCUCAAAGCCUUUGCGAACAGCGGUGUUGAAUUCAUUGUCAGCCUUGGCAAUGAAUACCUCUCCGAUAUGAAGGAUCCUGCUAAAGCUCAAGCUUGGGUUAAAACCAAUGUGCAAGCCUAUUUACCUGCGACUAAAAUCACGUGUAUAGCAGUUGGAAAUGAAGUACUUACGUCCAACGACACUUCACUAUCCGGCAAUCUCAUGCCUGCUAUGGAAAAUGUUUACGCUGCGCUAGUCAAUUGCAACUUGGACAAGCAAGUCAGUGUCACCACUGCUCAUUCUGUUGCGAUUCUAGGGACUUCCUACCCGCCUUCUGCAG